CAGAUUUCUAAAUGCAAAUUCGGGCAGCUGGCCCAUUUUCAGUGUAGUAAAAAGAAAAUACUUACCUGUACGUUGUACAAGAAAGUAACAUUUUUUGCUUUAAAUGUACCAAGGAAAACUUCAGUUAGCAACUUUAUGCCCAUGUCUAGUUAAAACUUUUCCUGAAUGUGGCCUAACGAGCUUUAAUAGGGGUGUAUCUGUCCUGAGCAUUAACUGUUGGUGUCAGUGUGCUGAGUGCAGACAGCACUUCCUCAUGGCUGUAUUGAUGAGGGGUUUUUUUAAUUAGAAGGUAGAUGAGCUGUGAGUUGGACAACGUUCAGUUAUUUCAUUUAGAAGGCAAGGUAUCUGGAAGUGGAGUAUUGGUUGAAUUUUCAGAGAAGCCCCUUGGUGCGAGGUGGCUGUGUGUUAUUUUAGCAUAACCAGAAUGUCCCAUUUAGCCCUUGGUGUCUGCAAUAACCAUUUGGAGCAGGACAGAAAGGAGAUGUUUUGUUUCUGUAAUGCAGACAGGAUUCCUGGUGCUGUCAGCCAUGCUGAGCAGCCUAGGAAGGUUAGCAGGUUGCUGUGUUCGAGCAGUUAAGAGUGAUCAACCACGUGUCCUCAGUAGCAGUGCAGAGUCGGCCUGAAGGUCACAGGAGCUGAUGGUGAGCUCAGACGAUGGCACAGUUAAACCAGAACUGCCAGGGUGGUCUGCAGGGCACGGGCAGCAGGUCCUGGAGCUGAGGAACCUUCAGAGUGCUGACAGUAACGGGUUUCCAACAAGAGAGCAGAGUCCCUAAGUGACCACAACUGGAUUUUGGUUUUGUUAUGAAAAAAGUAAAACUUGCAAAGUCACAAGACCUUCAGGGAGGAGUGAUAGUUUUGCUGACAAAAGGUAAAAACACUGUUUUUUCCAAUGUUUUGAAUAUGAAUGUUUUGCUGUACAUUUGUUCUUGAUGUAUCAUUCAAUUAAUUGAUCUGUAGGUUUCAAAAAAAAAUAAUAAGCAAGCAUGUGAUGUAUAACCUUGUACUCCCACCACCAAAGUAGCAAUUACCAAACAUAAAGCUAUUACUGCAACUUCUAUUUUAACGUUGCUAUCCAAAGAUCUCCUCAUAGGAUGUUUCUGUAACAUGCAGUUGUAAUAAAACGAGAAAAAAUUGGUAAAGAGGAGCAAAACUUUUAAGAACAAAUAGUUACAUAGGAUUCUGAAUUUCUAGUUAAAAUUUUACCUCAAAACUCACUCAGUGUCAUUACACCCUCCUAGCUUCUAUUUUUCCUUCUAAAAAUGAAGAACUUUUUUCUACUAGAAAUAACUGUGUAGUUGUGGGGGUUCUUAGCUUUCAUAUCAGAAAAUGGAAUUAAGUUUUCUGGUGAUCAGCCCCGUGAGAGAAAAGCAAAAAGCAUUUGUCAUUCAGAUACCUGCUUCUGUUUUACUCAACAGAAUGAUACAGAAAAAUAACAUUUGAGGUAUAGAAGUUUGCAUAGUUAGGAGUUACAAAGAUAUUAAAUGUACAGUUAAAUGGUCUUUUAUAGGAUCUCUUAUAGUCUCUGAGCACUCUGCAAA